CUCAUUAAUUUUUCCAUUUAUUGAAAAAAUGAAAAUUAUGAAAAUUUGUUAUUUUGAACAAAGAAAAAUGGACUUAGUAUUUAUAAAGCUGAUGAAAUUUCCUGUCGAAUGAGUACCCACAUCGAUAUGAUAAAUGAAUCUUCUCAGGAGAUUGCUGAUGAAAUUCUGCGUUCAUUGAGUACCCACAUCAAUAUAUUUAGAAUAAGUGAAUAUUCAUAUGUAUGUAUAUAUUUAUAUAUACACAUAUUUUUGAUAGAAAGCAAAUAUAUCGAUGUGCGUACUCAAACUUCAUAAAAUCACCUCACCAAUUCAGCUGUCAACAUCAAAAUUCAUUUUGAAUCAUUCUAUAAAUUAUGUGAUCUAUAAAAAAUUUUUUCCAAUUUUUUUUUUUUUUUUU